CAGUCGCCGCGGGAAUACGGAGGGUGCAAGCGUUAAUCUGAAUUACUGGGCGUAAAGCGCACGCAGGCGGUCUGACAAGUCAGAUGUGAAAUCCCCGGGCUUAACCUGGGAACUGCAUUUGAAACUGUCAGGCUGGAGUCUUGUAGAGGGGGGUGGAAUUCCAGGUGUAGCGGUGAAAUGCGUAGAGAUCUGGAGGAAUACCGGUGGCGAAGGCGGCCCCCUGGACAAAGACUGACGCUCAGGUGCGAAAGCGUGGGGAGCAAACAGGAUUAGAUACCCCUGUAGUCCCUGUCUCUUAUAC
rnacentral:rRNA from 1 species